rnacentral:rRNA from 1 species
AGAGUUUGAUCCUGGCUCAGGACGAACGCUGGCGGCGUGCCUAAUACAUGCAAGUCGAACGCUUCUUUUUCCACCGGAGCUUGCUCCACCGGAAAAAGAAGAGUGGCGAACGGGUGAGUAACACGUGGGUAACCUGCCCAUCAGAAGGGGAUAACACUUGGAAACAGGUGCUAAUACCGUAUAACAAUCGAAACCGCAUGGUUUUGAUUUGAAAGGCGCUUUCGGGUGUCGCUGAUGGAUGGACCCGCGGUGCAUUAGCUAGUUGGUGAGGUAACGGCUCACCAAGGCCACGAUGCAUAGCCGACCUGAGAGGGUGAUCGGCCACAUUGGGACUGAGACACGGCCCAAACUCCUACGGGAGGCAGCAGUAGGGAAUCUUCGGCAAUGGACGAAAGUCUGACCGAGCAACGCCGCGUGAGUGAAGAAGGUUUUCGGAUCGUAAAACUCUGUUGUUAGAGAAGAACAAGGAUGAGAGUAACUGUUCAUCCCUUGACGGUAUCUAACCAGAAAGCCACGGCUAACUACGUGCCAGCAGCCGCGGUAAUACGUAGGUGGCAAGCGUUGUCCGGAUUUAUUGGGCGUAAAGCGAGCGCAGGCGGUUUCUUAAGUCUGAUGUGAAAGCCCCCGGCUCAACCGGGGAGGGUCAUUGGAAACUGGGAGACUUGAGUGCAGAAGAGGAGAGUGGAAUUCCAUGUGUAGCGGUGAAAUGCGUAGAUAUAUGGAGGAACACCAGUGGCGAAGGCGGCUCUCUGGUCUGUAACUGACGCUGAGGCUCGAAAGCGUGGGGAGCAAACAGGAUUAGAUACCCUGGUAGUCCACGCCGUAAACGAUGAGUGCUAAGUGUUGGAGGGUUUCCGCCCUUCAGUGCUGCAGCUAACGCAUUAAGCACUCCGCCUGGGGAGUACGACCGCAAGGUUGAAACUCAAAGGAAUUGACGGGGGCCCGCACAAGCGGUGGAGCAUGUGGUUUAAUUCGAAGCAACGCGAAGAACCUUACCAGGUCUUGACAUCCUUUGACCACUCUAGAGAUAGAGCUUCCCCUUCGGGGGCAAAGUGACAGGUGGUGCAUGGUUGUCGUCAGCUCGUGUCGUGAGAUGUUGGGUUAAGUCCCGCAACGAGCGCAACCCUUAUUGUUAGUUGCCAUCAUUCAGUUGGGCACUCUAGCAAGACUGCCGGUGACAAACCGGAGGAAGGUGGGGAUGACGUCAAAUCAUCAUGCCCCUUAUGACCUGGGCUACACACGUGCUACAAUGGGAAGUACAACGAGUCGCGAAGUCGCGAGGCUAAGCUAAUCUCUUAAAGCUUCUCUCAGUUCGGAUUGCAGGCUGCAACUCGUCUGCAUGAAGCCGGAAUCGCUAGUAAUCGCGGAUCAGCACGCCGCGGUGAAUACGUUCCCGGGCCUUGUACACACCGCCCGUCACACCACGAGAGUUUGUAACACCCGAAGUCGGUGAGGUAACCUUUUGGAGCCAGCCGCCUAAGGUGGGAUAGAUGAUUGGGGUGAAGUCGUAACAAGGUAGCCGUAUCGGAAGGUGCGGCUGGAUCACCU